rnacentral:rRNA from 1 species
AACGCGAAGAACCUUACCUACUCUUGACAUCCAGAGAACUUAGCAGAGAUGCUUUGGUGCCUUCGGGAACUGUGAGACAGGUGCUGCAUGGCUGUCGUCAGCUCGUGUUGUGAAAUGUUGGGUUAAGUCCCGCAACGAGCGCAACCCUUAUCCUUUGUUGCCAGCGGUUCGGCCGGGAACUCAAAGGAGACUGCCAGUGAUAAACUGGAGGAAGGUGGGGAUGACGUCAAGUCAUCAUGGCCCUUACGAGUAGGGCUACACACGUGCUACAAUGGCAUAUACAAAGAGAAGCGACCUCGCGAGAGCAAGCGGACCUCAUAAAGUAUGUCGUAGUCCGGAUUGGAGUCUGCAACUCGACUCCAUGAAGUCGGAAUCGCUAGUAAUCGUGGAUCAGAAUGCCACGGUGAAUACCUUCCCGGGUCUUGUACACACCG